UCAAGCUUAAAGCAGGAAUCGACAGAUCGUGGGUGACCCUAUGCCGCCCCACGUCUUGUGUAAUGUUUUCAAUUCGGAAAAAAAACAAGGGGAUUAAAUCCUGAGCCACCUUGGGCUGGCCUUCUGGGAAAGGUGUGUCUUUUGCGUUAAAUCCUGCCUACUCGAAUUACCCUGCUGCCAUGGUCCAGGAGCUGGAGAGGAAGUGAAAGUAACUUGCAAGCUAAUGUUACAGCUGCCAGAAACAAACACAGAGCAGAUGAAGCCAACAAGCUAGCUAACUUGUUUACCAAUAAACUGUCCUUGUAGCAGGGAAAACAGAAGCAAUAAUCAUUCUUGAAUCUGAAUCAACUCAACCCCAAAAGACUGCUCAUGACCAAUCCAUAAACCGGAUAAACAUUGGAAUUAAUUUUGAAAGGUGGUAGAGUUAAUCCAAAAUGGUCAUCGUUCUCAUGGACUUGUAGUCUCUGUUUUCUAGCCCUCCCGGUUCUGACCGGUUCUGCCUGCCCUGACACUGAGCACGCCUUCCUGACCAUUCAGCCUGCCCUGACCUCUAGCCUGCCUGCCCCCUGUACCUCUUGGACUCUGACCUGGUUAAUGGACUUCUGCCUGUUCUCGACCUGACUAUUGCCUGCCCCUUGUAUUCUAAUAAAUAUCAGAGACUAUAACUAUCUGCCUCCUGUGUCUGCAUCUGGGUCUCACCCUGUGUUGUUAAACAGUUUGGUUUCGGUAGAUAAGUCACUGCCAAUAAACGCUAAUGUUAGCAUUUUCGGUAGAAAUACAUUACUUAACUCAGCAUAGUAUGUCUAAAGUUGUGUAACACUUUUACAACAGUCUGGCACUUUUGUAAUAAAAUUGUCAAUAUAUUUUCUUAAACAUCUUCUGUAUUGUGUGCUUAUUGUUUAACCAUUCAUACACUAUGUUCUAGGGCAGUGGUUCUCAAACUUAUUCGGUUACUGUACCAGCAACUGAAUUUUGCUCUGCCUUGAGUACCGCCUCAUGUGCAUUUUACCAGUCAGCCUAUGAUCUCAUGAUUCUUCUAAAGUACCCCCUGGUUGGGAACCACUGUUCUAGGGGACAUUAAGACCUUAACUCCUGUUGGUAUAAGUCCUUAAAUAGCAACAUCUACUAAACUAACAUAUGGAAUUAUUUUAAGAUGAUCAUAAAACGUGUAAUUUAGCCAUUUGAUUAAAAAUUUCAGGACCCAUGUAGGUAUAAAAAAAAAUAAACAAAUGAUUUGCUGAAA